rnacentral:rRNA from 1 species
GGUUAAGCGACUAAGCGUACACGGUGGAUGCCCUGGCAGUCAGAGGCGAUGAAGGACGUGCUAAUCUGCGAAAAGCGUCGGUAAGGUGAUAUGAACCGUUAUAACCGGCGAUGUCCGAAUGGGGAAACCCAGUGCAAUUCGUUGCACUAUCGUUAACUGAAUACAUAGGUUAACGAGGCGAACCGGGGGAACUGAAACAUCUAAGUACCCCGAGGAAAAGAAAUCAACCGAGAUUCCCCCAGUAGCGGCGAGCGAACGGGGAGCAGCCCAGAGUCUGAAUCAGCUUGUGUGUUAGUGGAACGGUCUGGAAAGUCCGACGGUACAGGGUGAUAGUCCCGUACACCAAAAUGCACAGGUUGUGAACUCGAAGAGUAGGGCGGGACACGUGGUAUCCUGUCUGAAUAUGGGGGGACCAUCCUCCAAGGCUAAAUACUCCUGACUGACCGAUAGUGAACCAGUACCGUGAGGGAAAGGCGAAAAGAACCCCGGCGAGGGGAGUGAAAAAGAACCUGAAACCGUGUACGUACAAGCAGUGGGAGCACCUUCGGGUGUGACUGCGUACCUUUUGUAUAAUGGGUCAGCGACUUAUAUUCUGUAGCAAGGUUAACCGUAUAGGGGAGCCGCAGGGAAACCGAGUCUUAACUGGGCGUUAAGUUGCAGGGUAUAGACCCGAAACCCGGUGAUCUAGCCAUGGGCAGGUUGAAGGUUGGGUAACACUAACUGGAGGACCGAACCGACUAAUGUUGAAAAAUUAGCGGAUGACUUGUGGCUGGGGGUGAAAGGCCAAUCAAACCGGGAGAUAGCUGGUUCUCCCCGAAAGCUAUUUAGGUAGCGCCUCGUGAACUCAUCUUCGGGGGUAGAGCACUGUUUCGGCUAGGGGGUCAUCCCGACUUACCAACCCGAUGCAAACUACGAAUACCGAAGAAUGUUAUCACGGGAGACACACGGCGGGUGCUAACGUCCGUCGUGAAGAGGGAAACAACCCAGACCGCCAGCUAAGGUCCCAAAGUCAUGGUUAAGUGGGAAACGAUGUGGGAAGGCACAGACAGCCAGGAUGUUGGCUUAGAAGCAGCCAUCAUUUAAAGAAAGCGUAAUAGCUCACUGGUCGAGUCGGCCUGCGCGGAAGAUGUAACGGGGCUAAACCAUGCACCGAAGCUGCGGCAGCGACACUAUGUGUUGUUGGGUAGGGGAGCGUUCUGUAAGCCUGCGAAGGUGUGCUGUGAGGCAUGCUGGAGGUAUCAGAAGUGCGAAUGCUGACAUAAGUAACGAUAAAGCGGGUGAAAAGCCCGCUCGCCGGAAGACCAAGGGUUCCUGUCCAACGUUAAUCGGGGCAGGGUGAGUCGACCCCUAAGGCGAGGCCGAAAGGCGUAGUCGAUGGGAAACAGGUUAAUAUUCCUGUACUUGGUGUUACUGCGAAGGGGGGACGGAGAAGGCUAUGUUAGCCGGGCGACGGUUGUCCCGGUUUAAGCAUGUAGGCUGAUUGUCCAGGCAAAUCCGGAUAAUCAAGGCUGAGGUGUGAUGACGAGGCACUACGGUGCUGAAGUAACAAAUGCCCUGCUUCCAGGAAAAGCCUCUAAGCAUCAGGUAACAUCAAAUCGUACCCCAAACCGACACAGGUGGUCAGGUAGAGAAUACCAAGGCGCUUGAGAGAACUCGGGUGAAGGAACUAGGCAAAAUGGUGCCGUAACUUCGGGAGAAGGCACGCUGGUGUGUAGGUGAAGUCCCUGCGGAUGGAGCUGAGACCAGUCGAAGAUACCAGCUGGCUGCAACUGUUUAUUAAAAACACAGCACUGUGCAAACACGAAAGUGGACGUAUACGGUGUGACGCCUGCCCGGUGCCGGAAGGUUAAUUGAUGGGGUUAUCCGUAAGGAGAAGCUCUUGAUCGAAGCCCCGGUAAACGGCGGCCGUAACUAUAACGGUCCUAAGGUAGCGAAAUUCCUUGUCGGGUAAGUUCCGACCUGCACGAAUGGCGUAAUGAUGGCCAGGCUGUCUCCACCCGAGACUCAGUGAAAUUGAACUCGCUGUGAAGAUGCAGUGUACCCGCGGCAAGACGGAAAGACCCCGUGAACCUUUACUAUAGCUUGACACUGAACAUUGAGCCUUGAUGUGUAGGAUAGGUGGGAGGCUUUGAAGCGUGGACGCCAGUCUGCGUGGAGCCAACCUUGAAAUACCACCCUUUAAUGUUUGAUGUUCUAACGUUGGCCCCUUACCGGGGUUGCGGACAGUGUCUGGUGGGUAGUUUGACUGGGGCGGUCUCCUCCCAAAGCGUAACGGAGGAGCACGAAGGUUAGCUAAUCCUGGUCGGACAUCAGGAGGUUAGUGCAAUGGCAUAAGCUAGCUUGACUGCGAGCGUGACGGCGCGAGCAGGUGCGAAAGCAGGUCAUAGUGAUCCGGUGGUUCUGAAUGGAAGGGCCAUCGCUCAACGGAUAAAAGGUACUCCGGGGAUAACAGGCUGAUACCGCCCAAGAGUUCAUAUCGACGGCGGUGUUUGGCACCUCGAUGUCGGCUCAUCACAUCCUGGGGCUGAAGUAGGUCCCAAGGGUAUGGCUGUUCGCCAUUUAAAGUGGUACGCGAGCUGGGUUUAGAACGUCGUGAGACAGUUCGGUCCCUAUCUGCCGUGGGCGCUGGAGAAUUGAGGGGGGCUGCUCCUAGUACGAGAGGACCGGAGUGGACGCAUCACUGGUGUUCGGGUUGUCAUGCCAAUGGCACUGCCCGGUAGCUAAAUGCGGAAGAGAUAAGUGCUGAAAGCAUCUAAGCACGAAACUUGCCCCGAGAUGAGUUCUCCCUGAGACUUUAAGUCUCCUGAAGGAACGUUGAAGACGACGACGUUGAUAGGCCGGGUGUGUAAGCGCAGCGAUGCGUUGAGCUAACCGGUACUAAUGAACCGUGAGGCUUAACCUU